GGUUCCGUGGUGCAGUUGGUUAGCGCAUCGUACUAAUAUUCUCUCCGGAAUACAUGCGAAAGUCGAGAGUUCGAGCCUCUCCGGGACCA
rnacentral:tRNA from 1 species